rnacentral:lncRNA from 1 species
GGCCACGGAACUCAUGCUUAGUGUUAUGAGUCGAGCUUUGGUGCCCAUCCCAAAGACAUGGAUGAACUCUAGUCAUAGCCGAUCUAUGUAUCGACUGUCGACCCUCACAUCAGCCGCUGAAACGUAGAUGGAUCUCCGACUUUUCACCAGCAUCUUUGUCUAUAAGCCAUAGACUCUCAUUUGAGUUAUUGAUCCUAGCGUUAGUUGAACCCAUCUUCAGGCACAUCAGAUUGUCAACCUACAUGCCUAACAUCUCACUCUCCGGAUAUCGAACACCAAUUCAGAAAGGGUUCCGACCCAAACGUUGUCUCCAACCAAGAGAUCUAUGGCCGAUUUUUAUCUCCAAUAGUACACUUGACAAGAUUUCAAGCCACAUCCCCUCCGAUCCAUGUCGGUCAUCAUAUUUAGAAAGGUUGACAAGAGACCCUCAUACAGUCUCAUCAAAUCAUAUCACUCAACAUUAAAUCACACCACUCCUGGGGAUGGCUAGCUGCGUCCUAGAUAAAAUCCCAUCAAAUCACACAUUCCUAAGAAUAACUGGCUACGCACCAGAUAAAAUAACAUCAACCACCAAAAAUCAGGUCGGACACCUUGGAAUUAUGCACCCA